rnacentral:tRNA from 1 species
GGGGGUAUAGUUCAGUGAUAGAGUGCAUGCUUAGCAUGCACGAGGUUCUGGGUUCAAUCCCUAGUACCACCU